rnacentral:rRNA from 1 species
AACGAACGCUGGCGGCAUGCCUAACACAUGCAAGUCGAACGAUAUCUUCUGGUCUAGUGGCGCACGGGUGCGUAACGCGUGGGAAUCUGCCGUGUGGUUCGGAAUAACAGCUGGAAACCACUGAUAAUACCGGAUGAUGACGAACGUCCAAAGAUUUAUCGCCAGAGGAUGAGCCCGCGUAGGAUUAGUUAGUAGGUGUGGUAAGGCGCACCAAGGCGACGAUCCUUAGCUGGUUUGUGAGGCUGAUCAGCCACACUGUGACUGGGAAACGGCACAGAAUCCUACGGGAGGCAGCAGUGGGGGAUAUUGGAAAAUGGGGGAAAGCCUGAUCCAGCAAUGCCGCGUGAGUGAUGAAGGCCUUAGGGUUGUAAAGCUCUUUUACCCGGGAUGAUAAUGACAGUACCGGGAGAAUAAGCUCCGGCUAACUCCGUGCCAGCAGCCGCAGUAA